UCCCUCUUAGCUCAGUGGUAGAGCGCGUCACUAGUAUACUUGGUCACAAUCCUCGUGUACAUGACGAGGUCAGUCGUUCAAGUCGGCUAGAGGGAA